rnacentral:lncRNA from 10 species
AAAGACUGUACCUUGCCACUCUCCUUUUGUCUUCACAGAUUAUUUCUGAAGGCACAACCUCAAAGGAAUAUUUUUGAGAAACACACCCCCAGAAAUAUUCUAUAAUUUAAGUAAUCUUGAAAUAAAUCACAACAUUCACAUUUUCCUGCUAAAAUCAUAGAAAUCCUCCUUCGGAAGAUAAUUUCUCUCAUGUGUUAAGGUAAUUCUCCUACCCUGCUGUGACACAUACUGUGUGUAAGUGGGCUGCCUUUAUCCUCUCACCUUUACCACUUCCGAGCACACAGCUUGACUUCUAACUUACCAGCUCAUGGACUUCUUUGUUUAGGGCAUUCUCCUGUUGCUGGAGCCCACUGCCACUGGUGCUUAUGCAAGCAGGCCGGAAGUGCCAGGGAAUGAAUGCCCCUCUGGUUGCUCUCACUCAAUGCCUGAGAGAAGUUGAUGUAUAAAUAUCUCAGCUCUUUCUGCCCUGGGUGGAAUAACCGAGGUGUAUGUGUGUGUUUUGUACUGGUUCUCAGAAUGUCCCCAG